GUGGGGAAUAUUGCACAAUGGGCGAAAGCCUGAUGCAGCGACGCCGCGUGAGCGAUGAAGUAUUUCGGUACGUAAAGCUCUAUCAGCAGGGAAGAUAAUGACGGUACCUGACUAAGAAGCACCGGCUAAAUACGUGCCAGCAGCCGCGGUAAUACGUAUGGUGCAAGCGUUAUCCGGAUUUACUGGGUGUAAAGGGAGCGUAGGCGGCGUGGUAAGUCAGAAGUGAAAGCCCGGGGCUCAACCCCGGGACUGCUGUUGAAACUAUCAUGCUAGAGUGUCGGAGAGGUAAGUGGAAUUCCUAGUGUAGCGGUGAAAUGCGUAGAUAUUAGGAGGAACACCAGUGGCGAAGGCGGCUUACUGGACGAUAACUGACGCUGAGGCUCGAAAGCGUGGGGAGCAAACAGGAUUAGAUACCCUGGUAGUCC
rnacentral:rRNA from 1 species